CCCAAUGUUGAGGUCUCUACGGCUCCAGUGAACCAGUGUGUUUUGCAGCAAAUCUGACGACUUGUGUGGAAAUGGCAUGAAAGUUACCCAGAUUACAACUGGUGCAAAUGCACUUGGAGCCUGGGGCCAGACUGGUGCUAACACUGCAAACUUUGUCGAGAGCUCUCUCCAAUCUGAAGGCUUGCUGGGGGCGCAACGUCACCUUCACAUGCUGGGCCCUUUCGGAAAAGUGCCAGAUCGUCUCACUGGUGCUAUUUUUCAUGCUCUGGUACAAUGUGUAGCACCACGGGGGUCUCAGCUUUACCAAAAUCAAAAUCCCAUUUGUCAGCUAAUUGCAGGGGCAUUUGUUUUUCUGCUCUCCUCCCACAGAAUUUGUUGGCCACUUCUUUGCAGGCUUUUUCUCCCGGCUCCAAGCUUUUGGGUUCGCUCUGUUGAGUGCGCCCAUCUUUACGAAGCCUGCACUCAGGUGCCUCUGAGCUGUCUUAGAUCCUACUGCCAGCCCUUCAGGACUCCGAGCCAGGGAAAAGCUCCCCGCUCCUAUGGCUCUUGCCUCUUCUUUCUCCUCAUUCUUUCCCUCUGCUCUUCCCCUCCUAGUUCUGUCUCAUUCCAGCUCUCUUCUGUGUACCUCUCCUUUUAUCCUUCCUUCCCGUCUUCUCUGAGUUGUUGGCUUUCUCCCGCAUUCCUUCUUUUCUCCCUCCCCUUUGAUCCCCAGUCUCUUUGUCUAUCUCUCCUUUACUCUCAGUCUCUCCCCUUCCUCUUCCUCUUCCUCCACCUUUCCUGUCCUUUCUCUUCUCACAUCUCUGAUCAUCUCCUCUCCCAUAACCCACUCCUUAGUAUUUCCGUCCUAAAAGGGCUCAUGGCUGAUUCAGACAGCAAGUCCAUACACUGGACUAACGACACAAAUUCUUUGGGUCGCCGCCUCACCCAGGCAGCCCAGAAGGCAAAGCUGAGCCUGAAUGAGGUCCUGCACUGGAGCCAGCUCCAUCACACCUCACUGAGCCAGCCUGCACCGCUGCCCUGGCAGUGAUGAUGCACGUGCUCUGGGCCCUGCCGGCACCUGGGUGCCUCUGCCUGAAGCCUGGUCCAAAGUGAGCCUGCUCCCAGCACCAUCCCACGGCUCUGAGGACACUUCCUUUCAAUAAAGGCAGACUCUGGCCCCAGCAAUUAUUCUGACACCAAACCUCUUCCUUCUCAUGGAAGCCAUGCCAUCACCUUGGUUUGGAGAGAGACUUUUUCUCCAUUCAUAAGCUUUCUUUUUCCUAUUUUCAUGUGAAGCUCCCUCUGCUUUUCAGCUGGUGAUUGCUCUGGUGAGAUUGAAUGGACUUGCUGGUGAAAUUACAUCUCUUUUUUCCUGUCUUGGUCCUGCCUAAAUUCCUACAAAAAUAUUUAAGUCAAAGACUCAGGCUACUUCCUAAGUUUAUCAUAGUAAUCUGUCGCUCCUAAAGAGGACAAAAGGGGACAUUUCCCUUAGAGUAUGUGGAGUACCUCCCAUGACAACUGAUUUGAAAGAGGACUCCCUACAGAAUUCUGUGGAUAUACAUUUUACUUCUCUGUACGUAUGGUAUAUGUGGUAUGUCUAUCAUGUAUACACAUACUACAUUGGGUACAAAUGAAUGUCGAUGGAAACCCACACACACACUUUAGUCUGUAAAUAUCCUUCCUCACUGAAAACUGUGCUUCGGAAAUCAUUUCUUGUACAGCUGUGCAGUUUCUUGUAGCAGCUGAGGAUAAACUAAGGUGAAUGAUUUAGACAAAGAUCAUCUAAAAGAUAGACUACAGAAGCUCCCUAGCAACUCAGGAGGACAGACUACCAAAUGACAAGGUUGACUCCCAAUGAGAUGGCAAACUUUUCUUCUCUCCUUUUUGAAUCUGUGUUUCCUAAAUGUGUCUUAACUUCUGAGUGCACCAGGCUGUAUGCGUGAGAUUUCGAUAUGACAGUUUUGUGCUUCUCUCUGACAGGAUGCUUCUCCAUUGAGCUGUAGUGCCGGAUGGGAGGGAGGGAAACAUACUCCUUGCCUGGGCUGGAGUUUACAGAGACACUGCACAGCUUACACUCCUGUUAAGUGUAAAUAUUCGACACUUCCAUUCCAUUUGUGUAAAAAAUAAAGCACACGAUUAUAAAAUCAAGAUGUAUAUUUCAUACUCAGUGUGUCUUUGCAUAUUUAUUGCGUUUCCAGUUGUCAGCGGUGGCCCCAUUGUAAAAAUGCUUGAUAGAGUGUUUAUAAACAUGUCAUGGUUUUAUUAUAAGAUAUAAAUAUUAAAACAUUUUA